rnacentral:rRNA from 1 species
UACAGAGACUGCAAGCGUUAUUCGGAUUCACUGGGCGUAAAGGGUGCGCAGGCGGUCGGGUGUGUCAGAUGUGAAAUCCCGAGGCUCAACCUCGGAACUGCGUCUGAAACUACUCGACUAGAGUACUGGAGAGGGUAACGGAAUUCACGGUGUAGCAGUGAAAUGCGCAGAUAUCGGGAGGAACACCGGUGGCGAAGGCGGUUCUCUGGGCCUGUACUGACGCUGAGGAGCGAAAGCGUGGGGAGCGAACAGG